rnacentral:rRNA from 1 species
GAUGAACGCUAGCUACAGGCUUAACACAUGCAAGUCGAGGGGAAACGACAUCGAAAGCUUGCUUUUGAUGGGCGUCGACCGGCGCACGGGUGAGUAACGCGUAUCCAACCUGCCCACCACUUGGGGAUAACCUUGCGAAAGUAAGACUAAUACCCAAUGAUAUCUCUAGAAGACAUCUGAAAGAGAUUAAAGAUUUAUCGGUUAUGGAUGGGGAUGCGUCUGAUUAGCUUGUUGGCGGGGUAACGGCCCACCAAGGCAACGAUCAGUAGGGGUUCUGAGAGGAAGGUGCCCGACAUUGGAACUGGGACACGGUCCAAACUCCUACGGGAGGCAGCAGUGAGGAAUAUUGGUCAAUGGACGAGAGUCUGAACCAGCCAAGUAGCGUGCAGGAAGACGGCCCUAUGGGUUGUAAACUGCUUUUAGAAGGGAAUAAAGUGAGUCUCGUGAGACUUUUUGCAUGUACCUGAUGAAUAAGGACCGGCUAAUUCCGUG